GGGUGGCCGCAUGAGAGAGGUGGCCACAAGGCACAGUGUUGCUAGUUUUUAUGGGCUCAGUAGCUUCAUAUGCUAACAAGUGGGAGGGCCAUUCCAACCACCCUGGUAAAAGGGCUGGGAUUCCCAGGAAUUGGACCACUGCCCACUUUGACCCUUAGUUUGCCUUCACUUUUUAAAGAUAUUUGUGCUGGGUGAAAAGUUCUAGGUUGACAGAUUUUUUUUUCUUUCUUUAAAGAUUUUGACUUUAGGACUACUGUCUUCUAGCUUGCAUUGUUUUUGACAAGAAAUCUGCUGUCAUCCUUAUCUUUAUUGCCCUGUAUUUAAUGUAGCCUAUUUCUCUAUCUGCUUUUCAAAUUUUUUCUUAGUCACUAGUUUAAAGCCAUUUGAUUAGGUUUUAGUGUUAGCGUAGCUUUCUUCAUAUUUCCUGCUUUUGGUACUCAUUGAUCUCAAAUUUGUGGUCUUACAAUUUUCAUCAGAUUUGAAACAUUUGGUCACUAUUUCUUCAGAUGCUUUUCUGU